UACGUAGGCAGCAAGCGUUGUUCGGAGUUACUGGGCGUAAAGGGUGUGUAGGCGGUUGUUUAAGUUUGGUGUGAAAUCUCCCGGCUCAACCGGGAGGGUGCGCCGAAUACUGAAUGACUAGAGUGCGGGAGAGGUAAGUGGAAUUCCUGGUGUAGCGGUGAAAUGCGUAGAUAUCGGGAGGAACACCAGUGGCGAAGGCGAUCAUCUGGGGUUGUUCUGACACUGAGGAGCGAAAGCUAGGGGAGCAAACGGG
rnacentral:rRNA from 1 species